UACGUAGGGGGCAAGCGUUGUCCGGAAUCAUUGGGCGUAAAGAGCGUGUAGGCGGCUCGAUAAGUCUGCUGUGAAAGUCCAGGGCUCAACCCUGGAAGGCCGGUGGAAACUGUCGGGCUAGAGUCCGGAAGAGGCGAGUGGAAUUCCCGGUGUAGCGGUGAAAUGCGCAGAUAUCAGGAGGAACACCAAUGGCGAAGGCAGCUCGCUGGAACGGUACUGACGCUGAGGCGCGAAAGCGUGGGGAGCGAACAGG
rnacentral:rRNA from 1 species